UUGUAAAUAAUAAUACAAUAUGUUUCUUAACAUUUCUACAUUAAUGUGAAUGCUACCAUGACUAUGGAUAAUCCUGAAUGAAUUGUGAACAAUGAUGAGUGAGAAAGUGACAGAGGCAUAAAUAUCAUGCUCCCCCCCAAAAAUGCUGACCUCCCCUGUUUGUCACGCCCUGACCUUAGAGAGCCUUGUUUAUUCUCUAUUUGGUUAGGUCAGGGUGUGACUUGGGUGGGAAAAUCUGUUUCUAUUUCUUUGUUGGCCGACUAUGGUUCCCAAUCAGAGGCAGCUGUUUAUCGUUGUCUCUGAUUGGGGAUCAUACUUAGGCAGCCUUUUUCCCACCUUAGAUUUUGGGAUCUUGUUUGUGUGUAGUUGCUUUCUGCACUGCAUGAAACAGUACGUUAGGUUUCUGAGUUUUUUCCCAGUGUCAUUUUUUAAAAAAAAUGUACGGAUACCACGCUGCACCUUGGUCCAAUCCAUCUUUAAACGAACGUGACACUGUUAUUGUAAUGGUGAGAGGUGAGAAUGUCUUGGGGGUAUAAUGUUCAAGCUGGAUGUAAUCAUUGACUUUAAUACACAUAUAAGUGAAUUUGUUCCAGUCCUUUUGGUCCCCUAAAAUGGGGCGACUUUGUACAAAAAGUGAUGUAAUUUCUAAACGGUUCAAACCUCAAAUUAAAGCUGACAGUCAGUCAUUGUAUUAUUUAAAAUCCAAAGUGGUGGAGAACAGAGUCAAAACAACAAAACAUGUGUCACUGUCACAAUACUUUAGGACCUCACUGUAGCUAAAAUCAGAGCUGCUGUGAUGCCACUGUUAGGACUGAUUGUUGUGCUGUGAGAGCAAUAUGACAUUUCCCACUGGGCACACACUGGUUGAAUCAACAUUCUUUCCAUGUCAUUUCAAUGAAGUGUGACCAGUACGUUGAUACAUCCAUCCACAAUUGUGUAAUGCAACUGUCAAAUCUGACUUGACACAUUUGGUGUCCCUGUAGUUAUCCAGUGCAAAAGUUGAGCAUGUCCUCAAUCGGGAGAAGGUUCUUCAAUACACCUCUGCCUGCCUGGCUCUGGGGUAUGGAUGUGCUGCCUCCUGCUGGGGCUGCUACACUAGUGCAGAAUAGACAGCAUGGUAAAUGAACAAAAGUGAUCAAAAGAAAGGUUUGCACUAGAGGUUUCAUUGCAUGGAAUGUCUGGAUGAAAAAUACAUGGCUAUACAUAUUUUUUGUUUGGCACAGAGUGAAUGGAAGCCUGUAGGCUACUGGUGAUCGGCUUAAGUGGAAAAUAAACCACUAUGAAAUUCAACUACAGGGAUAAAUACUAUGACACAUUAAAAAAACUCCAUCCCAAUGUUGGCUACAUUGUUACAGUUGUCUCUGGUGGAAGAUCUGCUCUCUACCGUGAUGUAGCUUACUGGCUAUUAAGUUGAUCUUUGCAACCACAUGCUGAGAUAACAGGCAGGCUAGCUAGCUAUACCUUGGCUGAAUGGACGGACUUGUUUUGCUAGUGCAAAAAUGGCCAGUACGAAUAGGCAACCUUAAAUACAUAACAUUGCAACAAAUUACUGACGACAUCGUAGCAACCGGAGCAGAGGCAGGAGGGUCAAAGGUCAGAAGGCAUCAACAUCCUGGGUCAUCCUAAACCAGUGGGCUCAGGAAACAGUAUCAUAGUCAGCCCCAAACAGGGAAGAGUGAUGAACGUUGAAAAAGCUACAGUUAAAAAAUGCUGUGUCUUGUUACAUGAUUGGCAUUUACACGUUAUGCCUUAGUAGCAUUCUUACCAACAAAAUCAUUGAAUUGAAAGUCUGUGUUCAGGAAGACUUAAACUAAUAUUUUGGGCUCCCGAGUGGCGCAGCGGUCUAAGGCACUGCAUCUCAGUGCAAGAGGUGUCACUACAGUCCCUGGUUCGAUGACUGGCUGUAUCACACCCGGCCGUGAUUGGGAGUUCCAUAGGGUGGAGCACAAUUGGCCCAGGGUCGUCCGGGUUUGGCCGGGGUAAGCCGCCAUUGUAAAUAAGAAUUUGUUCUUAGCUGACCUGCCUAGUUUAAUAAAAUAAAUAGUGUAAGCAACCUCAGCAUUGUUGUGUUACUAAUGUCUUCCUAUCCUUGCUGUUACAUCCUUUGCAGAGAGGAAAUCCUACUCUGAAGUUUGAGAUGUGCCAUGAGAGUUUGGAGAAGUGGCUCCUGAAUAUGUCCUGCGACAGACUACCUGUGCUCUCAUCCUCAGGGUGAAGUUCCUCUCCCCAAAUCCUAACCUUAAGCGUAAUUGAGGAAAAUGCAAGACUGACCCAAGAUCAGCAUCUAGGGGCAACUUCAACCUACACCCCAUCCUCCUGAGGCUGCGAAACACCCAAGAUCAGCAUCUAGGGGCAACUUCACCCUACACCCCAUCCUCCUGAGGCUGUGAAACACCCAAGAUCAGCAUCUAGGGGCAACUUCACCCUACACCCCAUCCUCCUGAGGCUGUGAAACACCCAAGAUCAGCAUCUAGGGGCAACUUCACCCUACACCCCAUCCUCCUGAGGCUGUGAAACACCCAAGAUCAGCAUCUAGGGGCAACUUCACCCUACACCCCAUCCUCCUGAGGCUGUGAAACACCCAAGAUCAGCAUCUAGGGGCAACUUCACCCUACACCCCAUCCUCCUGAGGCUGUGAAACACCCAAACAAAAAGGAUGAAAUCUGAAAAGUCAGGAGACACACUCCGGCUGCUUUCAGACCCUGCUCUGACCAGAUAUACAAAGUUAUCAAAUUACAUUAGGUACAGGCAGUUGUUUCCAUGCCAUUUCAACCAUAAAAACUGAUUGUAUUUGCCAAGUCAUCAACAUAAAAGGGAUUCCAGGAACGUUUCUUGUUUUUUUCACCCAACUGUUUAACCUAAAUCCAAUGACAUGGUUCAAGUUGUAAAACAACGAAGUCAACAACUCAAAUGUAAAUCAAAUCUUGACGUUGAACUGACGUCUAUGCCCAGUGGGAGCGCACAUCAAUGGACUGACCAUCUGCCUAUCGGUUCCUAGGACACAUUCUCUACACUUUAAAAUCAUGGCUUUUACCCAGAGACACCUAUGAAUGUGUACAUUGUUGCUCGACUGAAUACGAGCCAGUUAACUGUAUCUGACAGAAUUAUAUAAAUAGUUUUUUUUUUGUGUGUCCCGAGUGACUUGAAUAAAAGAUUUAAUCUAAUAUUUGUUCCUGCACAUUUGAAAUGGUGAUUCAUAGCACACGGCCAUAGUUUACGGCAGGGUUGCAAACGCACCUUGUGCUCUUACCCUCAGUUGUUUUCAUAGACUGAUUUCCCCAGCGGUCAAACUCCUAGACAGAAUAUCAACAAGCAUUAAGGAUGGUGUCCUAGCCAAAAAGGUGUAAGACUAGGUAUUAUGACCCAUACAAGAUACCACAGGAAGCAUCCCAUGCUUACACCCAGAAAACACCUUCAGUCCUGGAUUAAUUUUGUCAAAAUGUUACAUUUGUAUUCAGAAUUCUGUGUUCUUAUAACAAUUAAUAUUGGAAAAUAAAUUGAAACACAUCCUUACUAUGUCAUAAUAUGGGUAAUCCUGAAUGAAUCGUGAAUAA